rnacentral:rRNA from 1 species
CGGUAAUUCCAGCUCCAAUAGCGUAUAUUAAAGUUGUUGCAGUUAAAAAGCUCGGAGUUGGAUUUCUGCGGGGACGGAGCGGCCGGACGCGACUUGCGUCUCGAGCUAGCGCUUUCCCCGCAUCCUGCCGCGAACCGUGCUACCAUUAGUUUGGUGGCGCUGGGGAUCGGCUCGAUUACUUUGAUAAAAAUAGAGUGUUCUAAGUCGGCCACUCGCCCUGAAUAGGUUAGCAUGGAAUAAUGACUAAGGACUUUGGCUCUUUUCGUUGGUGUUCGGCACUGAACUAAUGAUUGAUAGGGACAGUUGGCGCGGUCCGCAUUCCGAAGCGAGAAGCGAAAUUCUUAGACCUUCAGAAGACGAACAGCUGCGAUAGCGUGCCGUAUGGAUGUUCCCGUUGAUCCAGAACGAAUGGUGGCGAAUCGAAGACGAUCGGAUUCCGUCGUAGUCUCAACUAUAAACUAUACCAGCUAGGGAUCGGACAACGUUUAAUUAUUCGACUUGGUCGGCACCUUAUGAGAAAUCAAAGCAUCUGGGUUCCGGGGCGAGUAUGGUCGCAAGGCUGAAUCUUAAAGGAAUUGACGGAAGGGCACCGCCACCCGCGGAGCCUCUGGCUUAAUUUGACUCAACACGGGAAAACUUACCAGGUCCAGACAUAGUAAGGAUUGCCAGAUUGAUAGCUCUCUCUUGAUUCUGUAAAUAAUAGUGCAUGGCCGUUAUUAGUUGGUGGAGUGACUUGUCUGAUUAACUACGUUAACGAACAAGACCCCAGCCUGCUAAAUAGCGCGGCUGAGCUUUGCUCGAUGCGAGCUUCUUAGAAAAAAUAUGAUGCGCGAUAGCCCAUGAAAGUUUGGAACAAUAACAGGUCUGUGAUGUCCUUAGAUGUUCUGGCCCGCACACGGGCUACACUGGCCCCCGCAACGAGCAUAUCAACUGAUCCGAAAAGGUCUUGGCUAAUCUUUUGAACCGGCGCCGUUCUUGGGAUCGACCAUUGCAAUUCUUGGUCAUACGAACGAGGUAAUGCCUUGUAAACUGCGAGUCAUCAGCUCGCAUUGAAUACGUCCCUCCCCUUUGUACACGCCAGCCCAUCGCUCCUCCCGAUGAAUGUUCCGAUGAAAUUUUCGGAAAACGCCAGAGAACAAAACUCCGCCUUGCAGAUCUGGAGGCUCAAAGUCACUUAAAUCUGAACAUUUCGAAGAAGGAGAAGUCGUAACAAGGUAACC